CGAGUGGCUCAGCGGUUUAAGGCACUGCAUCGCAGUGUUGCAGUAUGACUAGGCCUGGGGCUCAACCUGUCAGUUGAACAGGUUUUCUCCCGACACAUUGCUGCAGCUGACUUCAGGGUUAAGCGAGUUUGGUAGCUGUUUGGUAGGUCACAUUUUGGAUGACGCAUGACUCGACCUUCGCCUCUCCCAAGCCCUUUGGGGAGUUGCAGUGAUGAGACAAGAUCAUAAUCAUGAAAUUGGGGAGAAAAAGGGGUUAAAAAUAACAACAAAAAAUGCCAUGGGGUUUAUAGUGCAAGAAAGAGGUGACUUAUAUAGGCAAAGACCUGCCUCCUCCCAAGCCAGAGGUGAGUCUCAAAGAGGCAAAGCGCAAGUCUCUCUCUUUUCAUUGACUAUGGUGAAGCUCCGGACAUCCUGAGCUUCAUCAGCUUCACCAUCCUGUCAGGUGACUUCAUGUCUCCCUCUGUGGCUCCAGCUGUCCUCUGCCCCAAAUGCUCCUCCCACACAGGCCUCAGAUGACUUUGCCUUGGAUGCCCUGGCAGGGGACUUUGUAGCCCCAGCUGUUGCUCCUGCAGUCAAAUCUGCUGUUGACCGCCAGGUACUGAGACACACUUCAUGUGAUAUCAUUGUUGUCUUAUGCUUCAUUCACGUCCAAGAUAUCGGGUCAGUCAGAUUCCCAUUGUAACUUGCCAGCAUAUGUGUGUGCGCUAUCUGCUAUUUGAUCUCAGUCUGCUCUCUGCUCAUCCUAGGAGAAAAAGAUUAUGGAAGAGAAGCUUACCAAGGUGGGGGAGAGAGAUGAUAGCCUUCCAGCUGAGUUCCGGCACACAGAGGAAGACCAAAAGGCAAUGGCAGAGGCCAAAGUCCAGGUGUUAGACCCAAGCAGGUGAGGUUUCUGCCCAAUUGUAUCUAUAAUCGCACAGAUCCGUCAUAUUCAAUGUGUUGCAACUCCUAAAGGUCAUGUUUAAGUCAUGUAAACCAGACAGUACAUAAGCGACCAUCUUCUUCUCUCCUUACAGCCGUCGAUGGAUGACAGCGAGGCCCUUGACCUCUUGUCUAGAGACUUGUCUUCAUCCGCUGGUCCAGCUGCAGCCUCAGUAGCCGUGACAACAGAGCAGAGACAGCCCAGACUGGAGGUACUUACCUACUGCAGACUAACAAACUAACAGACCGCUAAAGUGAGUCUCAGAGUAGGAGGGCUGAUUUAGGAUCAGUUUAGCCUUUUAGAUCAUAAUGAAUAAGAUUAUAUAGACAGGGGUGAGACCUAAUCCUAAAUCAGCACUCCUACGCUGAGACACUUUUUGAAUACAGGCCC
rnacentral:lncRNA from 13 species